UGUGUGAUCGUCUCUCGCAUAUCAAUAAGCGGAGGAAAAGAAACUAACAAGGAUUCCCCUAGUAACGGCGAGUGAAGCGGGAAGAGCUCAAAUUUGAAAUCUUAAAGGGUUUCCCUUUACGAAUUGUAGUUUAAAGAAGUGUUUUCUGUUGAGGUUUUGGUAAAAGUUCUUUGGAAUAGGACAUCAUAGAGGGUGAGAAUCCCGUAUUUGACCUUUACUUUCAACUUUGUGAUACACUUUCAAAGAAUCGGAUUGUUUGGGAAUGCAGUCCAAAAUGGGUGGUAAAUUUCAUCUAAAGCUAAAUAUUGGUGAGAGACCGAUAGCGAACAAGUACCGUGAGGGAAAGAUGAAAAGAACUUUGAAAAGAGAGUUAAACAGUACGUGAAAUUGUCAAAAGGGAAGCGUUUGACACCAGUGUUGUUUUUCUGAAAAUCAAUUAAAGAAGCUGUUUAUGCUAAGCUGUUUAGACUUUAUCAGCUAUCUGUUUAGUUUUGAGCUUUUCUUUAAUGCACUUUUCAGUUAACAAGUCAACAUCAAUUUCUUUUGCUGUAAAAAAGCUUGAGGAAGGUGGCUUGAGAUUCGUCUUAAGUGUUUAUAGCCUCUUGCCUAUGCAGUCGGAGAGAUUGAGGUCUGCAGCGUAGAUCCUUCGGGGCUAAAUGCAUUUGUGCUAAGUUAUAGCAUUUUAUAGACAACUUGUUGACUAUGAUUUGUCUUGUAGCUUACUCGCUUAUGUUAUUUUACCUACGCUUAGGAUGUUGAGCGCAUGUCUCUCUCU
rnacentral:rRNA from 1 species